rnacentral:rRNA from 1 species
ACGGGGGAGUAAUGCAUAGGAAUCCCCCAUGUAGUGGGGGAUAACUUGGGGAAACUCAAGCUAAUACCGCAUAAUUCCUACGGGAGAUAGGGCCUAUACUUGUAAGCUCUUGCUAUUGGAUGAGCCUAUGUCGGAUUAGUUAGUUGGUGAGGUAAUGGCUUACCAAGACUACAAUCCGUAGCUGGUUUGAGAGGAUGAUCAGCCACACUGGGACUGAGACACGGCCCAGACUCCUACGGGAGGCAGCAGUAGGGAGUAUUGGACAAUGGGCGCAAGCCUGAUCCAGCAAUGCCGCGUGUGUGAAGAAGGCCUUCGGGUUGUAAAGCACUUUCAGUUGCGAGGAAAGGUUAUGAUUUAAUAAAUUAUAACUGUGACGUUAACAACAGAAGAAGCACCGGCUAACUUCGUGCCAGCAGCCGCGGUAAUACGAGGGGUGCAAGCGUUAAUCGGAAUUACUGGGCGUAAAGCGUUCGUAGGCGGUUAUUUAAGCAAGAUGUGAAAGCCCAGGGCUCAACCUUGGAACUGCAUUUUGAACUGGGUAACUAGAGUACUGUAGAGGGUGGUGGAAUUUCCAGUGUAGCGGUGAAAUGCGUAGUACACAGGAAGGAAUACCAGUGGCGAAGGCGGCCACCUGGACUGAUACUGACGCUGAGGUGCGAAAGCGUGGGGAGCGAACAGGAUUAGAUACCCUGGUAGUCCACGCCGUAAACGAUGUCAACUAGCCGUAGGGAUCCUUGAGGUCUUUGUGGCGCAGCUAACGCAAUAAGUUGACCGCCUGGGGAGUACGGCCGCAAGGUUAAAACUCAAAUGAAUUGACGGGGGCCCGCACAAGCGGUGGAGCAUGUGGUUUAAUUCGAUGCAACGCGAAGAACCUUACCAGCCCUUGACAUCCUGCGAAUUUUCUAGAGAUAGAUUAGUGCCUUCGGGAACGCAGUGACAGGUGCUGCAUGGCUGUCGUCAGCUCGUGUCGUGAGAUGUUGGGUUAAGUCCCGUAACGAGCGCAACCCUUGCCCUUAGUUGCCAGCACGUAAUGGUGGGAACUCUAGGGGGACUGCCGGUGAUAAACCGGAGGAAGGUGAGGAUGACGUCAAGUCAUCAUGGCCCUUAUGGGCUGGGCUACACACGUGCUACAAUGGCCGGUACAGAGGGCCGCAAACCCGCGAGGGGGAGCAAAUCUCACAAAACCGGUCGUAGUCCGGAUCGGAGUCUGCAACUCGA